AACUCUAUUUACACGACGUCUCUUCUGAGUGGCACAAGCAAAUAAUUAAAACUUUUAACAACGGAUCUCUUGGUUCUGGCAUCGAUGAAAAACGCAGCGAAAUGCGAUAAGUAAUGUGAAUUGCAGAAUUCAGUGAAUCAUCGAAUCUUUGAACGCACAUUGCGCUCGCCAGCAUUCUGGCGAGCAUGCCUGUUCGAGCGUCAUUUCAACCCUCAAGCACCGCUUGGUUUUGGGGCCCCACGGCCGACGUGGGCCCUUAAAGGUAGUGGCGGACCCUCCCGGAGCCUCCUUUGCGUAGNUAACUAACGUCUCGCACUGGGAUCCGGAGGGACUCUUGCCGUUAAACCCCCAAAUUCUUUACAGGUUGACCUCGGAUCAGGUAGGAAUACCCGCUGAA
rnacentral:rRNA from 1 species